rnacentral:ncRNA from 1 species
CCGGAAACCCUGGCAGGGUCCGCACCGGAUACAAAGCGGCCCCGCCCCAUCUUCCC